GAACGCUGGCGGCGUGCCUAAUACAUGCAAGUCGAACGCUAGUCGCGGACCUGAUCACUUCGGUGAGACGAAAGCAUAUGGCUAGAGUGGCGAACGGGUGAGUAACACGUGGACAACCUGCCUCUAAGCAGGGGAUAACAUUUGGAAACAGAUGCUAAUACCGUAUAACAACGCAUUUCGCAUGAAGUGUGUUUAAAAGGGGCUUCGGCCUCACUUAGAGAUGGAUCCGCGGUGCAUUAGUUAGUUGGUGAGGUAAAGGCUUACCAAGACGAUGAUGCAUAGCCGAGUUGAGAGACUGAUCGGCCACAUUGGGACUGAGACAA
rnacentral:rRNA from 1 species